CAAGCGGUGGAGCAUGUGGUUUAAUUCGAUGCAACGCGAAGAACCUUACCUGGUCUUGACAUCCACAGAAUCUUGCAGAGAUGCCAUAGUGCCUUCGGGAACUGUGAGACAGGUGCUGCAUGGCUGUCGUCAGCUCGUGUUGUGAAAUGUUGGGUUAAGUCCCGCAACGAGCGCAACCCUUAUCCUUUGUUGCCAUUGGUUCGGCCGGGAACUCAAAGGAGACUGCCGGUGAUAAACCGGAGGAAGGUGGGGAUGACGUCAAGUCAUCAUGGCCCUUACGACCAGGGCUACACACGUGCUACAAUGGCGCAUACAAAGAGAAGCGACCUCGCGAGAGCAAGCGGACCUCAUAAAGUGCGUCUAAGUCCGGAUUGGAGUCUGCAACUCGACUCCAUGAAGUCGGAAUCGCUAGUAAUCGUGAAUCAGAAUGCCACGGUGAAUACGUUCCCGGGCCUUGUACACACC
rnacentral:rRNA from 1 species